rnacentral:pre_miRNA from 1 species
CAAGUACUCCCUCCGUCCGGAAAUACUUGUCAUCAAAAUGGAUAAAAAAAGAUGUAUCUAGAACUAAUAUACAUUUAGAUACAUCCCCUUUUAUUCAUUUUGAUGACAAGUAUUUCUGGACGGAGGGAGUAUUAC